AGCUUACCUUCUGAAUCUCCCAAUAACUGAUUUCCGUAACCAUUUUAUAAGUCAAUGGCCUGACUUAGUCACCAUUCCAGAAUGUCUUUUUGAAAUGUUUAGCAUUCAUACGAAUAAGAAAAAAUGAUUGAACUAGAUAAAGCCUGCCAUGGUACUGCUAGGCGUGUUGCAGCCUACCUCAUGCAGCUCUCCAUAAUAUCAAGUCAAUCGUGCAAACUACAUCUCUGUACACCAACCACUGACUCCAGCUCUUCAAGCUGCUCUUUUGCAGGUGAUAUCUAGGCUCAUUGGCUCCAUAACUAUUGACAAGGAAAUGCAGCAUGACUUUCUCAAGAUUCUGUAAUUUUUUUUGUUUUUCCUUAAGGUUUUAUUUUUAAACAGAGGACUGAGGACAGUUUUAGUAAAUCCAGAGCCCAUUAAAUUCUCUAGGGACCACUUCCUGCUGCAGUAAAAGCAACUGUCCAGAGUUCCACAACUUCAGAAUCUGUUGCAAAAAUACACUGCCCAAGGAAUUGUUUUACCUUUUUCAGAUACCUGGUAUGAUAUAAGAGCUGAAAUGCCAAAUCCACAACUAGUUUGGAAUAUUGCAUAUUUUUUUGCACUGAAAAAAUAGAUGGUGGGUUGUAUGGGUUUGUUUGGUGUUUGUGCAUGUGAAAAUAUCUAAAAUUUGUUCCCAUCAGCUCCACUCAAAAUAAGGCUGCUACUUCAACACCAAGCAAAGAAUACUCUACUCAGUAAGCUAUUUGGCUAGUGUUUUAUGUAAUAAUAAAAAAAGAGAUUGAACACUGACCAAAUUAUAAUACCACAUCCAUAUUAUAUGAUGCUAUAGAAAACAAAUUACAACAAUACUAUUGGAAGAUGAUAGAUGUGCUGCUUUGUGUGUAUUUUUGCCUAUAUAUAUCUGGACUGUUCUGUCUGGCCAAGGCAACCUUGGAACUGCGGUCCUCAGUGCAUAUCUUUUUUGUAAUUAAUUUCCAUCAAACCUUUUCCCCUCAUAUUUGUACUUUUUCAUGUUUGUAUUGGUCGUUUUGUAAACUAUUUUAAUAAUGCGUCUGUUUGUUUUUUUUUCUCCACAUCCUUGCUCUGGACCCAGUCCCACAAAUCUUUCCUGUACAGACCUCCCUUUGAUUUCAGUGAGUUCUGAAUGUGGAAGGCUUGCAAGAUUGGGCCCUUUGUUUCCUCUUUGACAUAGGACUAUAUGCAACUGCCAGUUAAGUCAAUGGGAAUCUUUCAGUUGACAUUAAUGGAAGUUGGAUUGGCCCCAUAGUCACUAUUAAAAGAUGAUUAAUUCUUGGCAUGUUUUGUUUGGUAUAUCAAAGUCACAGGACCAAGGCAUAAUUUCUAGAAGCAUUUAGAGCAUUUGCAUCUCUUGUGGCAAGUUUUACUGUCUUAACUUCAGACUUAUUUGAAUGUUUUUGAAUAGAUGUAGUGGAUUACUUGCACACCGAGUGUUCAUAAUUUUGUAGAUUUCGGUUUUGUUUUGUUUUUUUAAAGUUUCCUGAGGAAUGCUAGUCUGUUUUGUAAGAACAUUGUUCACCAAUGUAUUUUUAGGCAUCUUGCAAAAAUGCAGUGCCAUUUAAAACUACAAUAGAACCUGAGUUACAAACCCCCAUGAAUAAAGGUUGUUCAUAACUCUGAAAUAUUCAUAACUGAACAAAACAUUAUGGUUCUUUCAAAAGUUUACAACUGAACAUUGACUUAAUACAGCUUUGAAACUUCACUGUGCAAAAGAAAAAUGCUACUUUCCCUUUAUUGUCUAGCAGUUUACGUUUAACACAGUACUGUAUUGCAUUUGCUUUUAGCUUUUUUUUUCUUUGGUCUCUGCUGCUCUCUGAUUUUGUACUUCUGGUUCAAAACGAGGUGUGUGGUUGACUGGUCAGUUCGUAACUCUCUGGUUUUCAUAACUUUGAGGUUCUACUGUAAUAACAAUUUAUGUACAGUAGGUGGCCAAUAUUUUAGUUAGAUCUGCUGGGGGGAAAGCUCUCCAAAGGCAACUGUGGAAUUCACCUUUGUUUUGAGUAUUCUAUAGAUCAACACACUGAAUAACUUAUCAGUGAGUGUAAUAAGAACUAUUGAAUUAAGUAUUUGGAAAAUGCUAGAGUAUGUGCUUCCUUCGAGCUUGUGAACUGAUAUUGUAGAAAGUGGAAUAAUUUCGACUUUCAUUUUCUUAACAUUUCCUUGUGAAUUCUUUUUGUAAGGAAUGUGGAUUGACAUAAUUUAAGUAAAAAUUAAAUAUAAAUGAAUAGUUUCCAAUAAAGUUACUGUACAUUACAAUCUAUGAAAUGUUUGUCUUCAUACUGAACUGGCAGAGGGGAACUGUUUUUUAUCUUAGUUUGCACUGUGAAUAAAUAGCAAGCUGUAACAACAUUUUUUAGUGUUCGUGUAGCUCACAAACCUGACGUAUUGAGAGAGGCAUAAAAUGCUGAGUAAAGUUUUGUUGCUGGCAGCCACAGGUAUCUCUGGUCAACCAGAUUACAAACAAAGACAAAAGCAUCAGCUGAGAUGGAGUGGCUACUGCCACAUGACUCUUCUGUAAUAAGGUGUCUUGGAAAGCAAUUAAAAAUACUGUCUAUGGACUUGCUCCUUAAACUCUAUCCAGAAAACUAAGUGGCACAUAGUACAGGUACUGCAGAUUUUACAUAGUAUUAUAUAAAAUAUUAGUUAUUGUAUAUUAGUCCAUAAAUAUUUAUUGCACUCUGAAAUAAUUAACAUAAGAAACAAUAUGUAGAUAUCAGAGCAACUCUUGUGAAUUUCAAAGUAAAUGUCCUUAUCUAAUUAUUUCAAAUUUAUCGUUGUCCCCAUAGCAUAAUAUACAAUUGAAUGUGCUUUUUCAUAUAACAUAAAAAGAAAAAAAUCUUGUACCAAA